rnacentral:rRNA from 1 species
UACGAAGGGGGCUAGCGUUGUUCGGAUUUACUGGGCGUAAAGCGCGUGUAGGCGGGUCGUUAAGUUGGGGGUGAAAUCCCGAGGCUCAACCUCGGAACUGCCUUCAAAACUGGCGACCUGGAGCAAAGAAGAGGCGAGUGGAAUUGCGAGUGUAGAGGUGAAAUUCGUAGAUAUUCGCAAGAACACCAGUGGCGAAGGCGGCUCACUGGCCCGGAACUGACGCUGAGGUGCGAAAGCGUGGGGAGCAAACAGG